rnacentral:rRNA from 2 species
AAAUUGAAGAGUUUGAUCAUGGCUCAGAUUGAACGCUGGCGGCAGGCCUAACACAUGCAAGUCGAACGGUAACAGGAAGCAGCUUGCUGUUUCGCUGACGAGUGGCGGACGGGUGAGUAAUGUCUGGGAAACUGCCUGAUG